rnacentral:rRNA from 1 species
AUAAAUAGUUAACUUUGAAACUGCGUAUGGCUCAUUAUAUCAGUUAUAGUUUAUUUGAUGAAGAAUACUAAUUGGAUAACCGUAGUAAUUCUAGAGCUAAUACAUGUAUAAAGAUCUUGUAGACUUGCAUUUAUUAGAAUGAAAACCAUAGGUGUUCGGCCAUAUUCGUAGAGCUAAUAAUAACUAAUCAUAUCGUAUGCUCUAUCGUAACGAUGUGUCUUUCAAGUUUCUGCCCUAUCAGCUUUCGAUGGUAGUGUAUUGGACUACCAUGGCAGUAACGGGUAACGAAGAAUUUGGGUUCGAUUUCGGAGAGGGAGUCAUGAGAGAUGGCUACCACUAUCCAAGGAAGGCAGCAGGCGCGUAAAUUACCCACUCCUGACACGGGAGGUAGUGACAAUUACAUCACAAUGCGGAACAAUGUUUUGCAAUUGGAUUGACGAACAACGUACAAACCGUUAUCGAUAAACAAUUGGAGGGCAAGUCUGGUGCCAGCAGCCGCGGUAAUUCCAGCUCCAAUAGCGUAUAUUAACGUUGUUGCAGUAAAAA